rnacentral:rRNA from 1 species
GACGAACGCUGGUGGCGUGCUUAACACAUGCAAGUCGAACGGUAAGGCCCUUCGGGGUACACGAGUGGCGAACGGGUGAGUAACACGUGGGUGGUCUGCCCUGCACUUCGGGAUAAGCCUGGGAAACUGGGUCUAAUACCGGAUAGGACCCUGGGAUGCAUGUCCUGGGGUGGAAAGCUUUUGCGGUGUGGGAUGGGCCCGCGGCCUAUCAGCUUGUUGGUGGGGUGAUGGCCUACCAAGGCGACGACGGGUAGCCGGCCUGAGAGGGUGACCGGCCACACUGGGACUGAGAUACGGCCCAGACUCCUACGGGAGGCAGCAGUGGGGAAUAUUGCACAAUGGGCGCAAGCCUGAUGCAGCGACGCCGCGUGAGGGAUGACGGCCUUCGGGUUGUAAACCUCUUUCAGCACCGACGAAGCGCAAGUGACGGUAGGUGCAGAAGAAGGACCGGCCAACUACGUGCCAGCAGCCGCUGUAAUAC